rnacentral:rRNA from 1 species
GACGUAGGGCGCGAGCGUUGUCCGGAUUUAUUGGGCGUAAAGAGCUCGUAGGCGGCUUGUCGCGUCGACUGUGAAAACCCGCGGCUCAACCGCGGGCUUGCAGUCGAUACGGGCAGGCUAGAGUUUGGUAGGGGAGACUGGAAUUCCUGGUGUAGCGGUGAAAUGCGCAGAUAUCAGGAGGAACACCUAUUGCGAAGGCAGCUCGCUGGGACGUAACUGACGCUGAGACGCGAAAGCGUGGGGAGCAAACAGG